GACGAACGCUGGCGGCGUGCCUAACACAUGCAAGUCGAGCGAAGUUUUUAAAGAAGAUCUCUUCGGAAUGAAACUUUAAUUAUCUUAGCGGCGGACGGGUGAGUAACGCGUGAGAAACCUGCCUUUUACAAAGGGAUAGCCUCGGGAAACUGGGAUUAAUACCUUAUGACACUUAAAUGUCGCAUGAGAUUUAAGUCAAAGCGUAAAGCGGUAAAAGAUGGUCUCGCGUCCCAUUAGUUAGUUGGUGAGGUAAAGGCUCACCAAGACAGCGAUGGGUAGCCGGCCUGAGAGGGUGAACGGCCACACUGGAACUGAGACACGGUCCAG
rnacentral:rRNA from 1 species